rnacentral:rRNA from 1 species
UACGUAGGGGGCAAGCGUUGUCCGGAUUUAUUGGGCGUAAAGAGCGUGUAGGCGGCCAGGUAGGUCUGCUGUGAAAACUCGAGGCUUAACCUCGAGCUGUCGGCGGAAACCAUCUGGCUAGAGUCCGGAAGAGGAGAAUGGAAUUCCCGGUGUAGCGGUGAAAUGCGCAGAUAUCGGGAAGAACACCCGUGGCGAAAGCGGCGCACUGGACCACUUCUGACGCUGAGGCGCGAAAGCUAGGGGAGCAAACAGG